rnacentral:rRNA from 1 species
UACGGAGGGUGCAAGCGUUAUCCGGAUUCACUGGGUUUAAAGGGUGCGUAGGCGGGCAGGUAAGUCCGUGGUGAAAUCUCUGAGCUUAACUCAGAAACUGCCAUGGAUACUAUUUGUCUUGAAUGUUGUGGAGGUAAGCGGAAUAUGUCAUGUAGCGGUGAAAUGCUUAGGUAUGACAUAGAACACCAAUUGCGAAGGCAGCUUACUACACAAAUAUUGACGCUGAGGCACGAAAGCGUGGGGAUCAAACAGG